AAGGGAGACCUAAUUCCGGUAGGAGACGAAAAAAAAGUAGUCCCAACCAAGGAUCAAUCCCAAAAGGUCGGAACGAGGUAUGAGGCUUUCAAACUAGGUUCUGGGUUCAUAAAAGACCUGAAUCAGGAACAAGGGCUAUUAGCUCAGGUGGUUAGAGCGCACCCCUGAUAAGGGUGAGGUCCCUGGUUCGAGUCCAGGAUGGCCCACCUGCACAGGUGGCAAAAACAAGAGAAGCUCCGAAUCAGCACCUUAUCUUAUAUACAUAUAUAAGAGAGAAUGCUGGCUCUGAGUAAAGAGUCCAGAGGAACCUUGAAAACUGCAUAGAGCUAGGUGAAAAAGCCAAAAAAGAAGACCGCAA
rnacentral:tRNA from 1 species